GCCCCGCUCGCUGGGGAAAAGAGGACUUUGGAGCACCCUUGUCUUGUCUUCUUACAAAUAGCAACCAAGCAUUUCUGUACCUCUGCCGGUUGCCAUAGAGACCGUGGGGGGAACACAUGUAAAUAUUCGGCAUGUGUGAGACAUGCUAAUGUCCUCCAGGGCAGUGUGGUUCCUCUUCCACUUGGCUUUUCUCUCUCUGGCCGAGCAGAGCAGCAGUUUGCAGCCACAUCAGUAAGCCCUGUGGUUUUAGGCGUCAGACUCGUGCAGCUCGUUUUUAAGGAACUCGUCUACCGGGAGGGACUGGGAAACACCCCACAUUUAGAUCAUGAGACCUGGGCUUGCAAUGCUUGUCUUUCUACUUUGUGGUUGCAGAAGCUUGUUCCACCUCCAUCUUCUCGUCCUCAAAGCAGGGAAAAUAAAGCCCUCUUCCCGUGCAGAGGAUUGCGAGAACGGACACAAGCUCUGGAAAGAUGCGAGCACUAGGUGCGCUUAGUGACAUUAUUAUGUCAUUACGGUGCGCUCCCAAAGGCUCGUCAAACUGGAUCCGCGACUCAGGGGUUGGCAUGUAGAAACGGGGCAGCUCGUCAUGAGAGUCAGCGGCUGGACGGCAGUGGUCCUUCUCGGAGUUUGGUGUGGAUGUCUCCACGCAGUGCACCUUGCUCUAUUGAAGGCCGGUGAACUCACAGGAGGAAUCCCAGGCCCUGGGGCUUUGCCCUGGCCUCUCUCCUUCCAUUUUCCCAGGGCCUCCGUGGUGAUCAAGGGCCCUAGCACAGCCUUACAUCCAUACGAGAGCAGAACAGCUCAGCCACUAAUCUCCCUGAACCUUGAAGAAACCCAGGUGUCUUCUUAAAACGCAAAUCCACCCCCGAGGCUUGGAGAAGUCCACAAAUCCAGCAGCAGGAACCUCCUGCUCAAGGGGGCACCGAGAACCGAGGGGUAUGUGUGGGCCCAGCUCCGGGUUUGAAUUCCAAAGUCAGCCCCUCGAAUUCCAGCCCCUUGUGUGGCUCCUUCUGGGGGUUGGUGGGAGGGGCGGAGCUAAGGAUCAGGGUGUUGUCCUCCAUGACUGCCUGUCUGCUGCCACCCACGCUCUGAAGAGUUUCUUUCCCAUCGGAAUGUUCCUGCGUAUCUCCUUGACAACCCGGACACGGUGCUGUGGUGAGGAGAAACAAUGCGAGUCAGCCAGCUGGGCGGAGCCGGGCCUGUGGUGGCUUCCCAGGACGCACUCUCCCUUCCAGGGUUCUAGGUUCAUGUUUGUGCUUCAGUCUAGCACAACAGCGAUGCUGAGGCGCGGCCCCAGAAGAACCAGCCUGGCACAUGUUUCUUGGGCCACACAGCCAGGCUGUGUGGGGAAGUCGGGACACCCAACCCCGGGGCUCCAGCCUUCCCUGACCAGAUUUGCAAUCUGCUGAAGCAAAGAGCUCACCACAUGGAUCGCUGAUCAGGAGAAAGGCAGGGGGCAGCCAGGAGGGAGAGAAGAGGUAUGGGAGCCGGGGGGCUAAGAGAGACCGGCGAGGCCAAGAAUGUUCCACAUUCUCUUCCCUUGACGUUCUACAAGCCAAAUCUCGCGUCUAGAAGGAAAAUGGACAGACGGUCCUGAUUUAUGAUGCUUUGACUCAGUGGUGUCCAACUUUACAAUGUGCCCAAAUGAUGCACACUGAGUAGAAACCGUACUUGGACUUCUGAAUUUGGAUCUUUCCCCAGGCUAAUGAUACGCAGUAUGAUCCUCUCUGGUGAUGCUGGGCAGAAGUAACAAGCCUCAGCUCCCUGCCAGCCGCACGAUCGCGGGGGUCAAGCUCACAACCAGCCUGCACCCACACAGCCCUUCUGUGUGUCACUUUCAGUACAGUGCUCAUAAGUUACACGAGGGAGCCAGCCGACACUUUAGUAUCAAGUGGGCCUUGCCUCAGAUGAUUUUGCCCAACUGUAGGCUAAGAGAUCUUCCUGGUUCCUGGUAUGAUGAGUGAUGGGAAUUGGAACCUAGGCAUUUGAAUCUUAUUGAUUCAACAAGACUCUGAGUCUUAUCGAAGCCUUCUGUUUUGGCUGGCUUCUGCUGACAUCUCUCUGGCAGAAGAAGGGGCUGGAUUCGAUGCCAUAUUCCCCCUCUCUGACUAACCCCCAGCCGCAGCAGAAGAGCCAUGCGCCUCCACACUUGGGGCCCUUCGCUCGUGCCGGGGUGGUCUCCUUCCGCCUUUCCCGUGGCUGCGACCUCCUCAAAGAGUGCCGCCGGAUCUGCAUUUUAGACAUCCUCCCUCUGCUAAGAUUAAGUGUAUCAGUCUAUCCACCCAAAGGCUCAGACCGGCACCUGGCAUACGGUAAGCGCUCAGUUAAUGUUAGUUCCUGUUAACUGCCUGAUCAUUGUUGUUCUAGUAGCUACUCUAAAAUUGCACGCCUAGGUGAUUUGUUAAAUGAAGUAGGAAAGAGUAAUAAUAUCAAUAUCUGGGCCCCCAGGAGCUUUUAAGAGAGCUAUUUUCAGAGGAAUAAGAAUGUGGGCUUGUAAAUUUUUUUCCCUGCCUUAAAACAAGAGUUGUCAGCUGCUAUUGUCACACACGCAGUUACUUUGUGUCUAAUGAUAGUAUGUAAAACAAC